GUGCUCACUUCACCUGCACAUAUACUAAAAUUGAAACCUUUCAGAGAAGGUAAGCAUGGCCCCUGAGCAAGGAUGACAUACAAAUUAGGGAAUGGUUUUAAAUUUAG